rnacentral:rRNA from 1 species
GACGUAGGGCGCGAGCGUUGUCCGGAUUUAUUGGGCGUAAAGAGCUCGUAGGCGGCUUGUUGCGUCGACCGUGAAAACCCGGGGCUCAACUUCGGGCUUGCGGUCGAUACGGGCGGGCUAGAGUUCGGUAGGGGAGACUGGAAUUCCUGGUGUAGCGGUGAAAUGCGCAGAUAUCAGGAGGAACACCGGUGGCGAAGGCGGGUCACUGGCCCGCAACUGACGCUGAACGGCGAAAGCUAGGGGAGCAAACGGG